rnacentral:rRNA from 1 species
AUUGAACGCUGGCGGCAUGCCUUACACAUGCAAGUCGAACGGUAACAGGUCUUCGGAUGCUGACGAGUGGCGAACGGGUGAGUAAUACAUCGGAACGUGCCUAGUAGUGGGGGAUAACUACUCGAAAGAGUGGCUAAUACCGCAUGAGAUCUACGGAUGAAAGCAGGGGAUCGCAAGACCUUGUGCUACUAGAGCGGCCGAUGGCAGAUUAGGUAGUUGGUGGGAUAAAAGCUUACCAAGCCGACGAUCUGUAGCUGGUCUGAGAGGACGAUCAGCCACACUGGGACUGAGACACGGCCCAGACUCCUACGGUAGGCAGCAGUGGGGAAUUUUGGACAAUGGGCGCAAGCCUGAUCCAGCAAUGCCGCGUGCAGGAUGAAGGCCUUCGGGUUGUAAACUGCUUUUGUACGGAACGAAAAGCCCUGGGUUAAUACCCUGGGGUCAUGACGGUACCGUGAGAAUAAGCACCGGCUAACUACGUGCCAGCCGCCGCUGUAAUAC